UACGAAGGGGGCUAGCGUUGCUCGGAAUGACUGGGCGUAAAGGGCGCGUAGGCGGAUGGCACAGUCAGAUGUGAAAUUCCCGGGCUUAACCUGGGGGCUGCAUUUGAUACGUGUGAUCUAGAGUGAGGAAGAGGGUCGUGGAAUUCCCAGUGUAGAGGUGAAAUUCGUAGAUAUUGGGAAGAACACCGGUGGCGAAGGCGGCUCACUGGCUCAUUACUGACGCUCAGGCGCGAUAGCGUGGGGAUCAAACAGG
rnacentral:rRNA from 1 species